rnacentral:tRNA from 1 species
GACCAGGCCGGGCAGGCGGCGGCCCGCGAGGCUCUCGGUCUCGCCGGGAACGCAGUCCAUGAACGCCUCGUCCACGACGAGGGUCCGGCCG